GAAAUUCUUCUUGAGGCAUUGUUUC
rnacentral:misc_RNA from 1 species